CCCGCCCACCCGUUCGCUCGCGCCUGCCCUGCCCCGUCCGCCAUGCAGCCUGCUUCUGCAAAAUGGUACGAUCGAAGAGACUAUGUCUUCAUUGAAUUUUGCGUUGAAGACAGUAAAGAUGUUAAUGUAAAUUUUGAAAAAUCUAAACUUACAUUCAGCUGUCUUGGAGGAAGUGAUAAUUUUAAACAUUUAAAUGAAAUUGAUCUUUUUCACUGUAUUGACCCAAAUGAUUCCAAGCAUAAAAGAACAGACAGGUCAAUUUUGUGUUGUUUACGAAAAGGAGAAUCUGGUCAGUCAUGGCCAAGGUUAACAAAAGAAAGAGCAAAGCUUAAUUGGCUUAGUGUGGACUUCAAUAAUUGGAAAGAUUGGGAAGAUGAUUCAGAUGAGGACAUGUCUAAUUUUGAUCGUUUCUCUGAGAUGAUGAACAACAUGGGUGGUGAUGAGGAUGUAGAUUUGCCAGAAGUAGAUGGAGCAGAUGAUGAAAAAGGGCCAGAGAGAUACUACAGCGGGUAAGGCGAAGGCCCUUGCCUUACAUGCAGCCAACCCAGGAUUCACAAGACAGUGAUGAUGAAAAAAUGCCUGAUCUGGAGUAAGAAAUGUCAUCACCACCAGAAUUUGAGAAAAAAAAGUCACUUCUCCGCAAGAUUUCAUAAUUGAGAGAAUUCCUGAGUUGGUAGCCCUAAAGGCAAAUGUUUUUGCCUCCUUAACCCGUUUUCAAUCUUUUUUUUUUUUUUUUUUUAAUAAAAGGCUUCACUAAGGGUUGAUAUGUACCAUUGUAUGGGGCAAUUUUAAGUCAGCUAAGGCAAUAACCUUAUGCAUGAACAUUUCCCAGAUUUCUCUGACACUGUUGAGGUCCUAGGCAGUUGAUACAGUGGUUAUGACAAACCAUUUCACCUAAGUCUCCUUUACUUCAUAACAUAGAUAACUGACAUGAUAGGAAGCUCAUGUUAGGGACAGAUAACUAGAUUUUAGAACAUGACUCAAAGUGACUGAAACAAAUUGGUUGAUACCAUAAACUGGUAACUUUCUCCUCUGGUAUAUCCUUCAGGUUUGUUUCACUAAAGUUUUAUUUUUUGAAAAAUUUACUUCACAUUAUUGUAUGUAAGUAAUCACUUGUCAGUGUUCCAGAUAUAUCUUAGCUAAAACUAGUGAAUGCCCUACUUAGAUGGUUUUUGAAGCCUAUACAUUUGGUAUUGUUUGAACCCUUAAACUUUUACAUCUCUUAGCAUGGAGGACGAAGAAAGGUUGUUUGUUGUUGCUUGAGAGUUUGUACAUUUAGACCAAAUUUGUAUUUGCACUGUCAGUACGGCAAAUGAGUGAAAAAAUGUUAAUACACUAUUGGAUUUUUUUUUAAUUUCUUUUUUUUAAAUUCAGCUUAUAUCAGAGCUGAAAACCUCAAUUUAUGUUCAUGACAGUGGGAUUUUUUUUAAUGUCUACAUUCUUUCUAAUAAACUGUUGGAAGAUUCCUUGGCUGUCCUUUUAAGUGUCUGGUUUACUGUAAUUUCAUGUAAUACACUUUCUGGCUGGAAUGGAGUUAUUUUUACUUCAGAAAGAAUUUGGGAAUAUUGGAGGGGAAAAUAUGGCUUACUUCACAGGAAACCUUUUAAAAGUGGAUCUGUAAUAGAAAAUUGUAGAUGCACUUUGCAGAAGUUGGAAAAGAAAGUGUUGUGCUUUGAUUGAAAUAAAACUAAAUGUGUUGUCCUCCUGUAA